rnacentral:rRNA from 1 species
AACGCGUUAAGCAUCCCGCCUGGGGAGUACGGCCGCAAGGCUAAAACUCAAAGAAAUUGACGGGGGCCCGCACAAGCGGCGGAGCAUGCGGAUUAAUUCGAUGCAACGCGAAGAACCUUACCUGGGCUUGACAUGUUCCCGACGGUCGUAGAGAUAUGGCUUCCCUUCGGGGCGGGUUCACAGGUGGUGCAUGGUCGUCGUCAGCUCGUGUCGUGAGAUGUUGGGUUAAGUCCCGCAACGAGCGCAACCCUCGCCCCGUGUUGCCAGCGGAUUAUGCCGGGAACUCACGGGGGACCGCCGGGGUUAACUCGGAGGAAGGUGGGGAUGACGUCAGAUCAUCAUGCCCCUUACGUCCAGGGCUUCACGCAUGCUACAAUGGCCGGUACAACGGGAUGCGACGCGGCGACGCGGAGCGGAUCCCUGAAAACCGGUCUCAGUUCGGAUCGCAGUCUGCAACUCGACUGCGUGAAGGCGGAGUCGCUAGUAAUCGCGAAUCAGCAACGUCGCGGUGAAUGCGUUCCCGGGCCUUGUACACACCGCCCGGCACACCACGAAAGUCGGUUUUACCCGAAGCCGGUGAGCUAACUCGCAAGAGAAGCAGCCGUCUACGGUAGGGCCGAUGAUUGGGGUGAAGUCGUAACAAGGUAGCCGUAGGGGAACCUGCGGCUGGAUCACCUCCUUU